rnacentral:rRNA from 1 species
UACGGAGGGUGCAAGCGUUAUCCGGAUUCACUGGGUUUAAAGGGUGCGUAGGAGGGCAGGGAAGUCAGUGGUGAAAUCUCCGGGCUUAACUCGGAAACUGCCGUUGAUACUCUCUGUCUUGAAUCCCGUGGAGGUGAGCGGAAUAUGUCAUGUAGCGGUGAAAUGCUUAGAUAUGACAUAGAACACCAAUUGCGAAGGCAGCUCGCUACGCGAAGAUUGACUCUGAGGCACGAAAGCGUGGGGAUCAAACAGG